AUGGAGGAAGAAAAUAUACAAGAAAAGGAAAGUGAUGAUCUUGAAGAUUUUUGGAAUGAGUACUCAGUGGCACUUGAAAGCUCUAAGCUCGACACACUUGAAGAGGCAUCCAAUGAGAAAGAGGUGAACAACGUCUGCAAUCAUGAAAUACAGAUUCAUGAAGAUCUGGGCCAUGUAUGCCGCGUCCGCGGUAUGAUUGUGAGAAGGCCUGACACAAUCAUUGAUUAUCAGUGGAGAAAGGCAUGUAUUACCGUUGAAAAAGAAAGCCUUCCGACCCCAUCAAUAAUCUCUCACUUACUGCAAAUACGAUUUGCGGUUGGGGAUGUGGCAGUGUUACCGAGGAGUGGGACAGCUUGUAUGCUCAGAAGGUCCAAUUGUUAA
rnacentral:rRNA from 1 species